ensembl:lncRNA
AUAGAGUGGGGUCCAAAAGUCUGGAACAUUUGAAAAUCUGCAUUUUUUUUAAAACCUUAGAAUAAACAAAAAAAGUUCUACCAAAAAGAGAGCUGUUGCAGGAGAAGAGGAAGUCAUUGCAUUUUGGUAAAAGGAUCAUAAAGAUUAUUAUGACAAAUCUUCUUCUUCUUCUUCUUCUUCUUCUUCUUCUUUUGGAAUAACAUGCAUAAAUGAAUCAUUUGCAAUAAGACAAUAAGACAUUUAAAGAAAAUUAUUUUAUUGUUUGAGCUGUCCAUAAUAAACAUACGCACGUCCUAAUUUUGCUGAGUUGGAUGUGUUCCUAGGUCAACAUAUUUUGUUGACCCUGGAACAUCAUUUUAAUCCAAAACUUUAGUCUUGACCAUAUCCCUACAUCUAAACCUAACCUUAACCACGAGUAAUCACUAUAAUCAGAGGAAAUUAACUGAACUACAUGAACUAUAAAUUAUUAAUGAACUAUAAACUGGUUCUUCAAAUCUGUUUGUUUAUUUACAAUGUUGUUCCAGGGUCAACAAUGUUGAUCCAGGAACAUGUCGCACUUGGUAAAAUCGGGUUCUGCUACAGUGCACAGUACACUUUCCCUGAGCACUUUGACCCUGCUUGACUGAGUUCCGAUCCAUAGAUUAGGUUGUCUAGAAUGCCUGUCAUGUCACGAUUUUGAGAAAGACUGUUCAGAUUUGCUAUAUGUGACACAGGUUUCUUUUAUGCAGACAGAAAACAGCUGAUAGGAAAAUGUAGCGUACGUGAUUGUCUACAAACAGCCUGACAAGUCUGUGAGAAUUCUGUCCUGCAAUGACACAGAGACUUGGACUCCAAAUUAGAGAUGUGUGAACAGCACAAUCUUUUUCCCAGUAGCACUGACAUUAAUGAGGAGCUCAGGUGUCAGGGGAAGAGACGUGUGUCAGACGUCAGGAGAUACCACUGUGGAGCCACAGAAGGGGAGCAACAAAAGGGGCUCAGAGAAGAGUGGGUGAGGUGUUUGUUGCAUAUCCUGAGAACGUGUGGCCAUGGGGGGUGUCAUUAGAGCCACUCGUUGGGCUGGUGGGUGGCCAGCAUGUGUGGAGAUCCGGACGCCUGUAAAUGUCACAGAAGAAAGUCCUACUGUGCAUAGAACUCAUUUCCUGUUAACAGCCAGCUCUCUCUAGUUCUGCAUUAUUGAUAAAGGCCAUACGUAUGCUUGCAAACACAAACACACACACUCUUAUGCAAACAAUACCAAACUAUCUUGACAAGUAAUUCACUAAGAACAACAACAACUCUGGCAAACUGUUAGAUCUGGAAACUUCUUAAUAAUUUAGAGCCUUAAGAAAAGAGUUCUGGUAAAUAAAAUUUUGAUUAGCAAGUCA